UACAGAGGGGGCAAGCGUUGUUCGGAAUUACUGGGCGUAAAGGGCGCGUAGGCGGCCUUCUAAGUCAGACGUGAAAUCCCUCGGCUCAACCGGGGAACUGCAUCUGAUACUGGAUGGCUUGAGUUCGGGAGAGGGAUGCGGAAUUCCAGGUGUAGCGGUGAAAUGUGUAGAGAUCGGGAGGAACACCGGUGGCGAAGGCGGGUCUCUGGGCAUCUCCUGACGCUGAGGCGCGAAAGCGUGGGGAGCAAACGGG
rnacentral:rRNA from 1 species